ensembl:lncRNA
CCACACCCAUGGCAUGUGGAGUUUCCCAGAGCCAGGGAUCAAACCCACACCACAGCAGUGACCCAAGCAGCUGACGUGACAACACCAGAUCCUUACCCACUGAGCCACAAGAGACCACCAGGACAAAUCUUGACUUCAGACUUCUGGCCUCCAAAACUGUGAGUAGACAUUUUUAAGUCAUCAAAUCUGCAUUAUUUUAAGGCAGCCCUAGAAAACUAAUACAGUUUUAGUUUGUGGUGGUUGUUUGGUUAGUUGGUUUUUAUUGAGGUAAAAAUGAAAAAACAUAAAGUUUACUUGAGCAUGAGUUUUAUAGGCAGACCACUCCUAUCAAUUCCUAUAUUUUCCAGAGCAGGUUGCCAAUCUGAACCUCAAUUUCUUACCUAUGACAUAGGGAUACAGUCUAACCUGCCUUGUGGUUAUUAGGAUUCGUUUAUAUGAAACAGUGGUUUUCUACUUUGGCAUACAUGAGAGUAAUUCGUAGAGCCUGUAAAAACAUCAAUUAGUGGGUCCCACUCACAGAACUUCUGAUUCAGCGGGUCUGGGGUGAGGCCUAACAACUGACAUUGUUCACGAGUUCUACGUGAUGCUGAAGCUGCUGCUCCCAAGACCACACUUUGAGAACCAAUGCACAGAGAUUGGGGUAAAAGAGAUGUUCAGUAAAUGCUCCUUUUCCUCUACUCUUUCCUUUCCAAAAGUCAGUUACUACCCUAUGAAAAUAAAUUUGAAUACAUUACAAAAAUCAAUCUUUCAGCAAGAAAUGUCCAUCCCUAACACAUCUACAAUGAGAGACUAAAUAUAUAAAUGAGCAAUGGCCACAACCUGCAGCAGCAAGUCCAGGAAGCCAAGCCACUAUCUAGAGUAACCAGUGCAGGAACUCAGAAUGCAACCUCUAACAACCAGCCCAACGAAGCCAAACAAUAACUUCUAUAACAAUCAGCCCCAUGGUCAGGACUUGAUUAUACCUGACAGCCUCCCUCCUAUUUCAACGGAGAAAACCAAAAACACGCCCCUAACCAAUCAUACAGGAUGUCCUGCUUCCAACUAGCUUGCCCACAGCCUCCCCAGGCCAACAGCCUCCAAUCAGGGCAGACCUGGAGGCUUCCUUCUUUCCUCUCUUAAGGUUUCCCACUCCACUACCUGCCUCUGACUCUGACAAACACCAAGAGUUGGUGGCUGAUUCCCUCGUCACAACAAGCUCUAAGUAAAUGGCCAUUGGCUGUUCUCGUUUGGAUGGUCUUUAUUUACUUCCGCAACUAAAAUAAAAUUUAAAAAUCCUCGUUUUUGUUUUUUUUUGUUGUUUUUUUUUUUUUUUUCCUGCAGUGUUUUCACUCUGUAACUUAAAAAUUCCUUCUUCUAAAACAGUGUGAUGUAACUGGGGGAGGGGGAACCUGCUUUGGAACCAGUGAGACCUGGAUUUCAAGAUCUGGCUUCUCUAGCUAAUAAAAGUUCUAUAAGUUCUUUGGACAUCAGCUACCUCACCCAUGUUCCCAACCAAGGGAACAAUAACCACCUACUGCUUAUUUCUCUGAAUAGAGAUGAUGAACACAAAGAGGAACAGUGCCUGGGACAGAGUAAGUCCUCAGUGAAGUUAGCUGCUUUGAUUAGACUAUGAUUUUUAGCACUGAAACAUUUAAUACUGUGAUUCAAUAAUCUGCUGGAUUAGGGUUGGGAGUUAAUUUUUCUUUUUUAACUUAUGAUCAGUAUAGUGCCAGGUCCCUCAUCUGAGAAAGCAAAGAAUGGCAUGGAUGUGGUGUUUGUACUACAAGGGACAGAAAACCACCAAAACCAGUUCAUGUAA